GAAAACACUCUUUGACAGAAGAAGGUAAAAAAUACAGACUGUAGUGGGGGAAAGGAUGAUUGAGGCCAAUCAUGACAAAAGUCUCAAGUCAAGUGGAUAUCCUUACUAGAAAAAAUAAUGGAAUGGUAACUCAGAUUAACAACUUUUCCACUGACCUUCUUUCACUUUGCCUCUCUUUUGAUGGCUGCUCGACAGAGGGGAUUAUAAAGCAAUACAGCAAUUUCUUUAUGCUGAGUUUAGUCUCAGAAUGGAUUGAUAAGAACUCCAGCACCAUGGGUGGCCCAGAUAAUAAAGCUGUAGAAGGAGCAAUGUUGGUGGAGUGCCAACCUCCAUUUGGCAUGCUGUUUCUCUGAGCAACCUGAGAAACUCAGAGCCAUUUCUGUCUCUGACUAAGCUGGUCUAGUGGAGGGUUCCCUGCCCAUGGCAGAGGGGCUGGAACUAGAUGAUAUUUAAGGUCCCUUCAAACCCAAACCAUUCAUGAUCGUAUGAAAACCGUGAGCAAAGUUUAUCACCAAGCUGUUUUUCUCUUGCUUGAAAAGAACUUGUAGAUUUGGUCUUUCACAUCAUAUCUUUUGUAAGGAGUAAGUUUAUGUGGCACCCACACAUUUAGUCUGAUUAUAUUAGUUUUCUCUUUUUCUUAUUUAAGAGUAACAACUGAAGAACCCUCCUAAUAUCAAAGAUUUUUUGAUUUUGGUCUAAGCUGGAUGCAGAAGCAUCCCUAGUCUGAGACCAGAAAAGAGCCCAAUGUCUUCUGAACAUGAAUAGACAACCACAUAACUGUCUACAUGCACAAGUGCUCCCAUCUGCAACCUCACUGCUCUGUGCCUGGAGGAACAAAGAAUACCAACUGACCACGCUUUGCACAGCCUGCUUCAAAGUCCUGCUCCGAGGAAAAUAAAGCAGGUACUUCAGCCCACACAGUCUUCAUCAACCUCUACCAAGGCAGAAUAAAAAUGGGGAAUUUGUGGACUCCUUUCUUGAAGAGCUAUUUAAUGUUAAAUACCUAAGCUUACCCUGGAGACCAGAUACCAUUCUCCCCUUUGCUAAUGCACACCCUACUGUGAGCUGUGGUCAUCUUUCCUCUUGCUUUUUCUCCCUACAGGCCUGUGAAAUUUGUAGAGCUACUCAGCUUUUGAAGACAAAUAGGAUAUCACUUCCUCAUUCUGUCCCAGCUUGAGGUCAUUCCAAGUUUCACAAGGUACCUAACCCAAGUGUGUGAAUGAUACCAAGGUUUAGAAGAUAAGGAACAUUUCAGAUUCAAUCGUCACCUGUUUCCUGCUGCAUGGUUUCAUUGACCCUCUCGCUACUGGGUAUUUGGGUACCUAUAGCUGCCCCUGGCUCCCUGGUCAACACACAGGAAACUCAGCAGAGUGAACUGCAUUCCUAGAGUUGGCUACCUAAAAGCUGGCUAUUUAGCAAGAUACAAUUCAGAUCCUUUCCGGUUUGAGUAUUCAGAAAAGAGGAGGCUAUAAACCAUCUUUAGACAGUUAUUAUAUAUGUAGUCAGUAGUUCACACUGGCAGGGUUAUUAAUGUUCCUAAAAUAGCCUUUCACUAUUAUUGAUAGGAGAAUAGAAGAGUCCCUCCAGGGCCUUUUGGCAGCAAGCCGGAUGGCAAUGACUUGCUUAGAGUUGUAAAUUUCUUAAAUGAAGGUGGCAAAAAAAAUUUUUACCAGCAA